AUCAACUUUGUCCUCCUUUCAGCUACGGUACCCAACACAAUUGAAUUUGCAGACUGGAUUGGUCGUACAAAACAAAAGCAAAUUCGUGUUACUGGGACGACCAAAAGACCUGUCCCUUUGGAACAUUGUCUCUUCUAUUCUGGGGAGCUUUACAAAGUGUGUGAGAAUGAAGAGUUUCUGCCUCAUGGAUUUAGAGCAGCCAAAGAUGUACAUAAGAAGAAGACCACAAGUUCUGUCUCUGGCGGCGCCGGCUUGCGUCCUGGGUCUUCAACAGCUGCUGAUAAGGGUCGAGGGCAGAGGCGUGAUAGCUCUUCUCAGGCAAAGCAGCACAAGCAUUCUGGUCCCCAAAGAUUGGGGAAUUUUGGUGGUGGUUGGGGAACGCAAAGCACUGGGCCUGGACAGAAUGUUA
rnacentral:misc_RNA from 1 species